rnacentral:rRNA from 1 species
AUUGAACGCUGGCGGCAUGCCUUACACAUGCAAGUCGAACGGCAGCACGGGAGCAAUCCUGGUGGCGAGUGGCGAACGGGUGAGUAAAGCAUCGGAACGUGCCCAGUCGGGGGGGAUAACGUAGCGAAAGCCACGCUAAUACCGCAUACGAUCUGUGGAAGAAAGCGGGGGACCGUAAGGCCUCGCGCGAGUAGAGCGGCCGAUGUCAGAUUAGGUAGUUGGUGGGGUAAAGGCUCACCAAGCCGACGAUCUGUAGCUGGUCUGAGAGGACGACCAGCCACACUGGGACUGAGACACGGCCCAGACUCCUACGGGAGGCAGCAGUGGGGAAUUUUGGACAAUGGGCGCAAGCCUGAUCCAGCAAUGCCGCGUGCAGGAUGAAGGCCUUCGGGUUGUAAACUGCUUUUGUACGGAGCGAAAAGGCUUCCACUAAUACUGGGGGCUCAUGACGGUACCGUAAGAAUAAGCACCGGCUAACUACGUGCCAGCCGCCGCCGUAAAAC